rnacentral:lncRNA from 1 species
UCCCUGUUCUGCAAAGGGCAACAUCAAAUAGCUUAAGCAGAGAAGGUACAUCAAGGGACCCUAGAAGGUCUGUUGAUGAGAGUAGAAGGGGAGUUGUCCAGAGUGGUAUGUCAGGGUUUAUGAGAGAAAUAGAGGAGAAUGAGCAGAGUAGAGAUGGUAGCUUUGGCAGGAGUAGGUUGGGAGGAGAUAUGGGUGAGUCCCAAGGAGGCACCCAGACCUCGAGAUUUGUUCCACCUCAGUAUCC